CCGACCUUAGCUCAGUUGGUAGAGCGGAAGACUGUAGUAUGUUGCAGAUCAAUCCUUAGGUCGCUGGUUCGAAUCCGGCAGGUCGGA
rnacentral:tRNA from 2 species